rfam:Burkholderia calidae type strain LMG 29321 genome assembly, contig: contig000005
GUUCGCUGCCGCAUAGGCAGCUUAGAAA